AUACCUUUCUCAACAUUUUGGCUAAGAUCAAGUGUAGUAUUUGUUCUUAUCAGUUUAAUAUAUGAUAUGUGGUUCAUAGAACCACAUGGUAUUAAAAGUGUUUUUCUAGGGGGAGAGCCCAUUCAUCGGUAGCUUGUUGUCGGGGCUUUUAUGUGUCACUUGUGCACUGCACUACAACACAUACUAGCCUCACCCCA
rnacentral:snRNA from 1 species